GGAGAGUUGUCCGAGCUGGCCGAAGGAGCACGAUUGGAAAUCGUGUAACAGCCAUAAACUGUUCGAGGGUUCGAAUCCCUUGCUCUCCGCCA
rnacentral:tRNA from 1 species